rnacentral:rRNA from 1 species
AUUGAACGCUGGCGGCAGGCCUAACACAUGCAAGUCGAACGAGUGGCGGACGGGUGAGUAAUGUCUGGGAAACUGCCUGAUGGAGGGGGAUAACUACUGGAACCGGUAGCUAAUACCGCAUACCAUCGGAUGAGCCCAGAUGGGAUUAGCGAGUAGGUGGGGUAAAGGCUCACCUAGUCGACGAUCCCUAGCUGGUCUGAGAGGAUGACCAGCCACACUGGAACGGAGACACGGUCCAGACGCCUACUGGAUGCAGCAGUGGGGAAUAGUGCACAAUUGGCUCAAGCCUGAUGCAGCCAUGCCGCGUGUAUGAAGAAGGCCUUCUGGUUGUAAAGUACUUUCAGCGGGGAGGCGUUACCCGCAGAAGAAGCACCGGCUAACUCCGUGCCAGCAGCCGCGGUAAUUC